rnacentral:lncRNA from 1 species
AGGGGGAAGUCGAACCAGCGCCCUGCAGUACUCGUCAAUGGGCUUCAGCCUCUUCACAGCUACAUCUCGGACGUGGCUCCUUCGGAACAGGAUCUUACCUGGAAGAAAAGGGAUGAUUCUUUGCUUGGGGUCUUUCUGGCCUCCUUCAAUGGGGAACUUGUCCAGAAGCUGCAUCUGCAGGUCAAAGAACUUGCUGUAUCUCCGGUAGAUGAUCUGGGAGGUCAGGUCUGACCAUGUUACAUUGAUGAUAUAGACGUAGUGCUUCGAGGGGUUCCUUCUCUUCUCCACGUCCACCACGUUGGCGUCCAGCACGCUGUAGGACAGCAUCUUCGCGCACCCCGCGGCUCCCUCCCGGCGCUGGCAGCACCCUCCGCCGCGCUGCCCGCCGCGGCGAUGCCGGCCGGCGCGGCGGGCGGGAGCGAGCGAGGGAGGACGCCCCGCCGCCGGCUCCGCCCCGUCCGCG